rnacentral:rRNA from 1 species
CCCGCUGAACUUAAGCAUAUCAGUAAGCGGAGGAGAAGAAAUUAACAAAGAUUGCCCCAGUAGCGGCGAGCGAAGAGGCAAAAGCUCAAGUAUAUAAUCUGAGGCGGUUUCGUCUCCGAAUUGUAAUCUGAAGUGCAGGCCAGAAGGCGUGGACGACGCAUAAGUUCCUGGAAAGGGACGUCAUAGAGGGUGACAACCCCGUGCAUGGCGUCGGCCGCGCUGUAUGGAAUGCUACAAUGAGUCGGGUUGCUUGGGAUUGCAGCCCAAAAUGGGAGGUAAACUUCUCCUAAGGCUAAAUAUUGGUGGGAAACCGAUAGCGAACAAGUACUGUGAAGGAAAGAUGAAAAGAACUUUGAAAAGAGAGUUAAAAGACUUGAAAUCGUUGAGAAGGAAGCGGUAGAAAAGUAUGAAUUGGUCAGGACUUUAGGACCGACAGAGGGUGCACUCGGGGCUAGUUGUACUUCAUAGGCACUGGUUUCGCGGUGUAAAUCCUCUGUGGCUGCGCUCCUGGCCAAAAGGUAACAUGAGGCCUAGCGAUCGGGAGAAUGCGGACGGGAAGCCCCAGCAAUGGAAGCCCGGACGAGACACCGACCGACAGACCUGAGGGACGAAAGUGAUGUUGCCGAAAUGGUUUCUACCGACCCGUCUUGAAACACGG